rnacentral:rRNA from 1 species
UAAGACAGAGGUGGCAAGCGUUGUUCGGAUUUACUGGGCUUAAAGGGCGUGUAGGCGUCCUGAUAAGUCAGAUGUGGAAGCCUUGGGCUUAACCCAAGAAUUGCAUUUGAAACUGUCGGGAUUGAGUCGUGCAAGGGAGGGCGGAAUUCCUGGUGUAGCGGUGAAAUGCGUAGAUAUCAGGAGGAAGGCCGGUGGCGAAGGUGGCCCUCUGGGCAAUGACUGACGCUGAGGCGCGAAAGCGUGGGGAGCAAACAGGAUUAGAUACCCUGGUAGUCCACGCCCUAAACGGUGCGUACUAGGUGUGGGUGGCGAUAGUCAUCCGUGCCGUAGGGAAACCAUUAAGUACGCCGCCUGGGGAGUACGGCCGCAAGGUUG